AUACGGAGGAUCCGAGCGUUAUCCGGAUUUAUUGGGUUUAAAGGGAGCGUAGGUGGGAUAUUAAGUCAGCUGUGAAAGUUUGGGGCUCAACCUUAAAAUUGCAGUUGAUACUGGUUUCCUUGAGUACGGUACAGGUGGGCGGAAUUCGUGGUGUAGCGGUGAAAUGCUUAGAUAUCACGAAGAACUCCGAUCGCGAAGGCAGCUCACCGGGCCGGAACUGACACUGAUGCUCGAAAGUGCGGGUAUCAAACAGGAUUAGAUACCCUGGUAGUCCGCACAGUAAACGAUGAAUACUCGCUGUUUGCGAUACACGGUAAGCGGCAAAGCGAAAGCGAUAAGUAUUCCACCUGGGGAGUACGCCGGCAACGGUGAAACUCAAAUGAAUUGACGGGG
rnacentral:rRNA from 1 species